CUUUUUCCUUUCUACUUUCAAAACCUAUAUUAUGCCCUUUUAAAAUUUUAGAAAUACUACCGACCGUCCCUAGAGCAAGUGGCAAAGAAUUUGGUGGUUGGUACCCGAGAUUCCAAGUUCGAAUUCUAGUUAAUUCACAUUUCCAGCUAAGUUUAUUUCUAAAUAAAAUAAACGAAGCGGGCAGCGUGCUAUCUAUCUCUCUCUCAAAAAAAGAAGAAGAAAUACUUUCAGAAGGGCAAGGCGUUAAUAGAGAUGACAAAAUAAUCAAAUUGCCCUUACUUAUUCUAUUAAAAAAAAUAUAUGUUUUUAAUAUAUUUCUAUCAUUUCGAAUGAUAUUUUCGGUAUAAAUUAUAAGAAAUUGACGGAGUAGUGAUGGAACCCUGGCGGAGAGAGGCUAAUUAAAUGCAAUAGCUUGAAAUGUUAAGUGGGUAAAAUAUAAGUUUUUUGAAAGUUGGAAAGAGAAAGUGAAAAAGUAUUUAUAAAGAAUUUUUCUAUAAUUUAGACCUUUUUUAAAACUAAAAUUUCAAAAGGAUUAUAUCAAUUUUUAGAUUUAUGGUUUUAAAAUGUACAUUUCUAUAAGAGAUGUCGAAGUGACAUUUUCUCCUAUAUAUGUUUUUGAUAAUACUAUUUUCACUGAUUGUUGAAUACAUAAUAUUGAAGUAUAUGUAUAGAUAACUAGAGAAGCCCAAAGCACUUUUCAUAAACCCAAGCAUUUUUCAUAAAAGGAAAUGCUAUUUGUACACUUCGUAUAUAAAAAAGAGUGUACAUCUCACACCAUUGAAUUCAAAGAUCAAAAUUCGAAGAUCAUGCCGUCGUGGACUGUUGACAUGUAGUAUACAUAAUGUGAAAAUCUUAGGGGUUAUUUGGAUGCGUGAGCAUUUUUUUUUCAGUAAAUUUACCCUAUUUAUUAAAAAAAUAUAUAGAGUAAGCUAGUAAUAAAACGCAUGAUUAAAUGUUUAUAAUGAUGGACCACAUUCAAUCUCCGAGUCAUUUAUUUAGACAAAAUUACAUUUCAAACAAAAUGCAUUGUUCUAAUAAAUUAAAUCUAUUUAAAGAAAACCAUUAACUUACAAUCACAAAAGAAUCUUCUUGUAACACAAGUUUACACUAGAUAAUUAGUUCGAACAUACAAACAUGCCUUUUAAGUAGUUUAUGCAUGUUGUCCAAUUAUAGCAUAAAUCUUUAUUAGGCUUAAUCACACCAUACUAAACUGUACUUUAGAGAUUUUUUCAUUUCCUAACUGUACUAAUUUUUUUUUUAAAAAAAAAUAAAACACCUCUCGACUAUCCUAUUUAUUCAAUUUCUAUACUAUAAGCAAAAAACAUAUAAUUUUACAUAAAAGCAGCAGUGUUACAAAAGCACUAAUUGAAAGCAGUAGAUUGUAUAAUAAUUCAACUUAUUUUGAAACAAAAAAUAUAGAAAUAAUAGAAAAAACGUUGAAAAUAGCUUGACCGAACCUUUUAAUGAAUUUAUCUUGAGGACUUAAUUAUUUUAUAAUAUUUUUUUUCUACCAUGUAACUAGUGCCUUAUAAAAAAUAUUAUUUAAUUUUGUCAGAUUGGCGUAAAAUAGAUGACUUAGUAAUAUAUAUAUAUAAUAAAGAAAAUAAAAAAAUAGAAAAUAAAAAUAAAUUUGAAAUACAAUGUAAAGAUUUAUAGAAAAUGAUAAUGCAGGGCAGCUUUGAAAAAAGUAGUACAAUAUCCAAUAAAAAAAUAGCUAAGGACUAUAUAAUAGAAUGUAAUUAAACUUAUAUAGUAAUAGAAUGAAGUUAGAAUACUUUUGGAGUCAGGUUGGGAUACUAUUGAUAGCACGAAGCAUUUGGUGCUAUUAAAUUUUUUGCCGUUAAAUUUAUCUCUUUUAUCAUUUCAUCCGUUCGAUUAUACUAUUCAACCAACCACCCACUCAACCCUAGAGGGCCCACAUCAUUCUAACCGCACAUCUUUUAAUCAAAGGGCACAAAACUUAAUAGCACCAAGUAAUUGGUGCUAUUAAUAGUAUUCCAACCUAGUUCAUACUUUUGAUAGUAAAUUAACAAUAUUUAGUACCUAUUUUUUAAUCCUUGUAUAUCUAGGGUUUAAAGUUAGAAAGUAAACAAUAAAUAUUAUUCAGAAUUGAGCUCCUACGCUUGUAAAAGUGCUAAGUUAUUAAUCUUUAAAGGUUUUUCGCUUUCGGAUGAAGAUUUGUAGCAUGAAUGAUAGUGAUUCUCCCUAUGGUUGAAUGAGUGGUUAGUGGUAUAGCAAGAUCUAAGCCGUGGAAUUGGUCAAAGAGAUAAAUCUAAUUGUAAAAAUGGUUAAUUUGUUAACUAUAGUUAGUUAAUAAGGUGAAUUGUUCUUUUUACUCAUCUUUAAUUAGUAGUUGGGACUUUUAGAGAAAUAUAUUUGUAAUAGCAAAAAUGUCAUUUCAUUUAUAAGAUAAACAGUGUUUUAACAGUAACAAACUAGAGAGACACAUUUGAAAAUAUUAGGACUUUUAAAGAAACAAUAUAUGAAAAUUAAAUUUUAUAGAAAUAUAUUUGUAAUUCAUUAUUUUUGCAGGAACUAGUAUGAAAUUAAUCCUGAUAAAAAACUUACAAACACACGGACUACUUGAUAUUUUUGAAAACACCAUAGUCUAACUCUAUUAUUUAUCAUCAAUACUUAUUUUGAAUAAAAUUUAUAUUAACAUAUCAGCAGCAGUUGAUAAAAGUAGCAUUUGGGGUAAUCCCUGGCAUGCAAACUCUUUAAAAGGAGAGAGAGAGANAUAUAUAUAUAUAUAUAUAUAUAUAUAUAUAUAUAAUAAAGAAAAUAAAAAUAUAGAAAAUAAAAAUAAAUUUGAAAUACAAUGUAAAGAUUUAUAGAAAAUGAUAAUGCAGGGCAGCUUUGACAAAAAGUAAUACAAUAUCCAAUAAAAAAAUAGCAAAGGACUAUAUAAUAGAAUGUAAUUAAACUUAUAUAGUAAUAGAAUGAAGUUAGAAUACUUUUGGAGUCUGGCUGGGAUACUAUCGAUAGCACGAAGUAUUUGGUGCUAUUAAGUUUUUUGCCGUUAAAUUUACAUCUUUUAUCAUUUUUAUCCGUUUGAUUAUACUAUUCAACCAACCACCCACCCAACCCUAGGGGGCCCACAUCAUUCUAACCCCACAUCUUUUAAUCCAAAGGCGGAAAACUUAAUAGCACCAAGUCAUUGGUGCUAUUAAUAGUAUUCCAACCUAGUUCAUACUUUUGAUAGUAAAUUAACAAUAUUUAUUACCUAUUUUUUAAUCCUUGUAUAUCUAGGGUUUAAAGUUAGAAAGUAAACAAUAAAUAUUAUUCAGAAUUGAGCUCCUACGCUUGUAAAAGUGCUAAGUUAUUAAUCUUUAAAGGUUUUUCGCUUUCGGAUGAAGAUUUGUAGCGUGAAUGAUAGUGAUUCGCCCUAUGGUUGAAUGAGUGGUUAGUGGUAUAGCAAGAUCUAAGCCGUGGAAUUGGUCAAAGAGAUAAAUCUAAUUGUAAAAAGGGUUAAUUUGUUAACCAUAGUUAGUUAAUAAGGUGAAUUGUUCUUUUUACCCAUCUUUAAUUAGUAGUUGGGACUUUUGGAGGAAUAUAUUUGUAAUAACAAAAAUGUCAUUUCAUUUAUAAGAUAAACAGUAUUUUAGCAGUGAGAAACUAGAGAGACAUAUUUGAAAAUAUUAGAACUUUUAAAGAAACAACAUAUGAAAAUUAAAUUUUGUAGGAAUAUAUUUACAAUUCAUUAUUUUUGCAGGAACUAGUAUGAAAUUAAUCAUGAUAAAAAACUUACGAACACACGGACUACUUGAUAUUUUUGAAAACACCAUAGUCUAACUCUAUUAUUUAUUUAUUUAUCAUCAAUACUUAUUUUGAAUAAAAUUUAUAUUAACAUAUCAGCAGUUGAUAAAAGUAGCAUUUGGGGUAAUCCCUGGCAUGCAAACUCUUUAAAAGGAGAGAGAGAGAGAGAGAGAGAGAGAGAGAGAGAGAGAGAGAGAGGAGGAGGAGAUGUAGAUGUAGGUCGAUCGGUCCAAACGCAUAACGUUACAGCGCUCCACGCCAAGAAGUGGGGCCCGAGCGUCCCUCGCCGCUCCUCCGACCCUCCCAUCAGCAUCAGCAGCAUCAGCAGCAGCAGCAGCCGCAGUAGCAGUCCGUUGCAGAAAAUUGGGCCUGGUGGUGGGGCGGUCGGACUCUGGAAUUUUCUUUUGUGCUUGUGCAAAUGUUAUCAUGUCAUGUUUUGUUAUGUUAGGUUAUAUUAGGUUAUAUUAGGUUAUAUAUAUAUAUAUAUAUAUAUAUAUAUAUAUAUAUAUAUAUAUAUGCUAUGCUAUGCUUUCCCUCCCCUCCCAAGCUAUACCUCUGUAUAUAUACUAUCGCUCUAACCAAAAUAUAAAACGCCACGUCUCCCCACUCUGUGUACGGAACCUAAUCAUUUUCCUCUCUUUACUCUCUCCAUUUUUCUCUCUCUCUUCUCUCUCUUAUUUAAUAGGAGGAAGGUGGAGCUCACUUCCACUUCUCUCUCUUCUUGCUUUGUUGGCCACUUCUCUUUACCCUUACCCUUUCUCUCUCUAGAUUUCUCUCUCUCUCUCUCUCUCUAGAUCUCUCUCUCUCUUGUGCAUGGAUGGAGGUCCAUAGUGCUCACCACCAGGUAACUAAACCAUGAGAUAGCCAUGGCAUGUCUCACUCCCCCCUUAAAUUCUCUCUCUCUCUCUCUCUUUGUUUUUUUUUUGGGUAUCUCCUUUCCCCAAACUAUUAAUUUUCAUAGCUCUCUUUGUGAUCUUAAGAAGAAGGUUUUUGAUGGGUCUCUUGUGUCAGAUCAGACCCAUCUGAGAUCUGUUCUUGUGCAGAUGCGUUUUGUGGAAAAUUGAUUGGUCUUAGCCCUUGAUUUUAGAGCAGUGUCCAAUUCUUUGGAAGAAAUUAACCAUCACUCCUCUUUACAGUUCCCAAAGUUUAUUAGGUUGCUGGCAACUCAAUUAAUUUUGAGUGUGGGUGCAAUUUGAUCUGAUUUUUUUCUUUUUUUUUUCAUUUUCCUUCAUGUUGGGUUACCUUCUUCUCUAAGGUAGGUCAUUUGCUUGCUUUGGUUAUGAUCAGUUGUUGUUUUUCACUUGGCCUUAAAACCCAAAUUCUCUUAUCGAGUUCAAAAAAGAAACUUCGCUUAUUUUCCUUGAAUUUGUUUUUCUUUUAGCUUCAAUGUGAAAGGGGCCAAAUUCAUGCUUGCAGAAAAUUUCUUGAGUUCUGAAGUUUUCAUCAAGACUGAGGAUUUUAUGAUUAUGAUUUCUAAUUUCACAUAGGCUCCAGCAAGUAAAAUUGGUCAGUUUUACAUGAUUUUCAAUUAUGGUUUGAGCCUUGUAAACCUUCUACACUUUCAUUACAGUACUCUCUCUUUCUUCUUAAUUUUAUGUACAAGCUAUUAAUUAAAUCUCUCUUUGCUCUACUCAUUAUAAAAUUGCCUUUUCAUGAGUCAUAAACAAAACCCAUAAUCAUGAGUCAUGUUCCAGCACUACAUUCAUAAUUCAUGACCUAAUUUGUUACACAAAAAUAACGUAUUUUCCGCAGCUCAUGGCAAGCCAUAUUCCACUGGAAGAAGUGCUUAUAAGCUGCCCAAGACCGCAGCAGCAGCAGCAGCAGCAGCAGCAGCAGAAUAAUAAUAACAACAACAAUCAAGAGAGGAAAGUGAGGCCUCACCCAGAUCAAGCCCUGAAAUGCCCCAGAUGUGAUUCCACCAACACCAAGUUCUGCUACUACAACAACUACAGCCUCACCCAGCCCAGAUACUUCUGCAAAGGUUGCAGAAGGUACUGGACCCAGGGGGGCUCCCUGCGCAACGUGCCCGUCGGAGGCGGCUGCCGGAAGAAAAAGAUAUCUUCUUCUUCUUCUUCCUCCGCCGCCGCCCCCUCUUCUUCCUCCUCCUUUUCAUCUCCCUCCUCCUCGUCCUCCUCCUUCAAGAAGGAUUUGGUCACCACAAGCCCUAAUGCAUUGCUCCCUACCAGUCUCAUCGCCCCACCGCUCUCCUACGACCCAAUUGGCCUCUCACUCACCUUUGCCAGGCCCAUGAGGGGCCUAGGGUUUGACGACCAUGAUACAAGCUUCCUCUUGGGAAACCCUAACCCUAGCACCACUAACCUUGGCAUCACUACUGUCCCUGCUAGUGCUGCUAAUGAUGGCUUUUUGGACAUUCUAAGAGGCGGGUUCCUCGGCAACAACUACCCAAGUGGCUUCCCCAACCUCUACUAUGGAUUUGGUGGUGGUGGUUGUAAUAAUGGGAGUGUGAAAAUGGAGGGUGGUGUUAGUGGUGAGGGGGAGGAGGGAAUGGUGUUGCCUUUUGAGGGAGGGGAUAAUCAUAAUAUGGAUGGUGUGACUCAAACAGUAGGGGAAAGUUGCCAUGGGUCUAAUUGUAAUAAAGCAAUGUUGGAAGGAGGGGAAAGUAAAGUGGUGAUGGGCCUGCAAUGGGAGAUGAGUGGGGAUGGCAACAACAGCAGCAGCAACAACAACAACAACAACAACAACAACAACAACAACAACAUGAUGGUGGAAUCUGCAGGAAGGGAUUACUGGAACAAUGGGGUACUUGGACCUGCUACUACUUCCUGGCAUGGGCUCAUCAACAGCUCCCUGAUCUAAAAGUGCUUUUAGAAGAAGCUGGUAUUUUAGUUUCUGCUUCCAUGAGUUGCUGCCAAGUUUCCCAAGUUGGAGGAAUCUUCCAGAAAAUCUCAUGAUCAUCUCAACUUAAUUUAAUGGGUUCUCUUCAUGUUACUUGUUCCAGGCUUUUUUCUUCUUUUUUUUUUUCACUUAUUUCCCUUUUUUUUUUUUAAUGAGUGUUGAAAUGACAAUUAUAUAAAAAGUAAUUAAAUCAAGCAUUCAGAUUUGUUUUCCAAUGUAAGGAACAUUGAUGAGAGAAUCUCACUCAGGUGGUGCAGUUCUUAAAUAUUAUUGUUUCUGACAUUCUAUUUGUGGAUAUUUUUAGGGGGUGGAUAUCAACGUAGGGGAGGGGUUUGAACUUUGGAGAAUUUAAUCUGAUCCAUGGUGGUAUUUCCAAGAAAUUCUCAUACUUUGAUUUAUUUUAUUUCUACUUCUUUUUUCUUCCUCCGAGAAAUUCUCUUCAUUCAUGGUGCAAUUUACCCCCCAAGAAUCUUCUUGCAUGGUUUGUCAAUGGUGAAAUGAAGAGGGAGGAUGAAUCAUGGGUACGUGUUCAAAUCAUUUGAAAUAUUUUAAUGGGAGACAAUCUCUGCGGAGAUUGUGUGUCUUGGAAUCUAAGGAGAUUGAUGCACGCGGAACAACAAAAUCCCGGUGGAUCUUCGGUGGGUAGAACAUCUAUUUUGUAUGUAUGGCACCGUGUCCAUAGGCUGUGGAUGUGAAUGUUUUUUUGGUGCCUAUUUUAUUUUAUAUAAGAACAAAAAAAAAAAAGAAAACAAUUACCUUGUGUUAAAUACGUUCAUAUAUUGUUCUACGCCUCUUUUACUGUAGUAGUUUGACUACAUGAGAUGCAUGCAUGUGUACUGAAAAUUAAGUUAAUCUCAGGGAAAUAGAAUGGCAAAGAAGAUAAUUUGAUGGCAAAUUAAUGUGUACUGCCACCAGUGGAAAAGAAGUAAUUUUUCCCCUAGGUUUGAUUCUCUAUUUUUGUUAUAAUUGUUGCAAUAGACACCUAAUUAACUUUCGUUUUACGUCGCGAUCUUUGUGCGUUUGUUAGAAUUUUCAUUAAUUCGAGUGAGAAAAACAAUGCAAUUAAUGGCGUCCUACCAGAAGCUGUUUGCCUGUUUCCAGCAUCAUACUGAUGAUUCUAUUUUUGUGGUUUUACUUCAAGUGAAAGAACUUUAUUGCAUCAAAUAAUAGAGAUUCUAAUUAAAAGUUGGAGACCAAUUAAGUGACAUUCACAAAAAGGUUGAGGACCCCUUGGUGUGUACCACAAGCAUUUUAUUACCUAGUUAUCAAUUUACAUAUAUCAGUUCCAGUAACUACCACAAUGUCCAUAGUUGUGCCGCGACGCUUGCACCGUAAGCAUUGUGUCACCACUGUUUCCUAUGUUCUAAGGCUUAUUUUAGUAUUGAGGUCUGUCUAACGCAUUGUGUCACCACUGUUUCCUAUGUUCUAAGGCUUACUUUAGUAUUGAGGUCUGUCUAACGUUACUAUAUAGAAUGGGGUUGAGAAAAAGCAUAUAGGGAUAUGCUUCUGUGUUCUCCGAUGGGACCGUAGAAAAUAUAUCAUAACGGAUUAACAGCAAUAUGCAGAACGUAAUAUUAUGUACGGAAACAAAUAGAGUAUUUUUUCAUCGUCAUUUCUCACCGCACGUAACGCAGUUUUCCUGCCAUCCCAAACGAAGCCUAAGCCUGGAGAUAAUACUUUCUUACAUCUCAUCUUAAAUUAACAAAAAAAAAUUAGGUUUCCUACUAAAGCAAAGGUUCUUAUGUAAAGAGCAUAAUGGAAAAUUUAUCAGAGAUGGAGAAAGAAAGUGGACUGAGUUAUAAAAUCUUUCAGUCUAUGACUUACCUUUUGAUUCCUUAAUUUGUAGUGGAAAUGGAAACAAUGAAUUAGGCUUUUGUGCAUACAGUUUCAUUAAUGGAAAAGUGUAGAUGAAAAAAUAUAGUAUUUAUCAUGUAUGAGGAUUAGAACCAAUCCUGCAGCUGGUUCGAUCAAAGCUCGGUUAAAAUUGUAAUUGGUUGAACGUGGUUGAACUCGACUUUGACUGUGCAUACAAAACUUGGGUGGAUUGUGUUUGAUUGGGAAUUCAAAUCCAAUCCAGAUAUAAAUAAUUCUCUAUCCAUAAACCAACUCAUUCAACAGGAAGAAUUGGAACAUUCAUCUCUUAAUCACUUUUUUAAUGAUUUUCUUCCUCACUUCAAUGAUAAAGAGUAGAAUGUAGAUUUAUAAUUAGUAAAUAAUAAUCUGCAUUAUGUAUCUAGUAGGAUUGGGCUUCAAUUGGAUUUAAAAAAAUGGAUUCAAGUACGGUUUGCUUUCAAUUCUCAUGCAACACUUUUGGGUUCUGAUCUUAAUCGCUAAACACAGUAGUUUGGCUCGGCAGGAUCCACUAACAAAACAAAAUUUGAGUGCUCAAUUUUAUCCCUUCAUCAUUUAUUCCAUUUACUUCGCAAAUCGGAAUUUGUUUCACAAUGCACAAUUCAUGACACUAUUUAUUAAUAUUUUUCAUAAAAAAAAUGAUGAAUUAUUGAGAUUAAGCUUUAAUUUUUCUAUAUUUUGUUAAUGGGCCACAAGGCUUUAAAUCUAGCCCAAAGCCCAAUAGAACCUAUUAAUUAUUUUGGGCCUAGAAUAGGCCCACUCCAAGUAUUGGCCCAAAGUCGAUCACAACCGUCGAAUCCCCUAAAGUGAAUCAGAUCGCUACACGUAUCCAGAACUCGGGUGUUUCGCAGUAGAAAAACCCUAGAAUCCGGUCAUCGCCGUCUCCUAUUUAUACUCCAUAUCCUUCCUCUCUUCUCCCCUUCUCCCUUAUUCCCAAACCCUUUCCUCACGUGGCGGCGGCGGCGGCGAUCGAAGUUUCCUCCUGAGAACGUUGCGGAGAUCGUUUUCGCACCUCCAAAAUGGGGUAAUCGAGCUUAAUACCGAUUAUUUCUACUAUUUUUUGGGUUAAUUAUGAUGAUAUUUUGGAAAUUUUGAUGCUAAUUAACGUUCGAAUCACUUGUUUGCUCAUCUCCAUGCUUGAUCUCAACACCUCUAGAAUCAUUGUGGGAUUAAUGCAAAAUUUCAUGUUUCCUAAGUGUUGUUUCCCUUAUUCUGUAUUGAAAAUUUUAAGGUAGCAUUGGAUAAAUGCGUAGAUCCAACUAAACUGCAUUAAGAUCGUGUUUAAAAUGUGUACCUAGCAGUUUGUUUGUAACCCUAGAGAUGCGAGAACUGAUUUAUGCUUGUGUAUUUUGCUUGAUAUAUCGAUUAUAUAAAGCUUAUGGACGGUCCGGUGCUGAUUUGGCUAUUAAACAUCAUCACCUAACAUUAACAUAAGCUAAAUCAACCAUAUGCCAUUGAGUUAUAGUAGUCCCUUGAUUUUCAUAUGGGGGUCAUAUACUUGAUGAUAUACAUCAGUGGAUUUUGCUGGUUUUAUACAUCGAAUGCGAUGGUUCUUUGUCGUUCAUGCUAUUCAUUUUUUGUUCUCUUCGCCUCCUUGUGAGGAGAUGAAUGUAAUCCCUAAUAUGACGAAAUCUUGUGCUUAUUAAGUAAAGUUCUUCUAAAAGUAUAUAUGGAAACUUUAGGCUAGUGGACAGUGGCAACCUCAAUAUAUUAUAGGGAUUGAGACAUUCAUGGAGGAAAGUUUUAGUUAAAUAUGUUCAAUUGUUUGGUAUGGAUGAACCGAAAUUGUAGUUUUGGUUCUGAUUCUCAUUUAGACAUUUGCGUUGAAACCGUAAUUAUUAUUGCCUUACACUAGUCCAGAUGCCAAAAUUUUCUUUAAAAUCAUUGAUUUGUGCUAAUGCACUUGUUUUCUGGUCAAACUGUUGUAACGUGAUUCAAUUGUUCCUCGGAGGGCAGUUUCUUUAGGACUAUUCUUUGAUUCUUUGAUGAUUAUAUCUGUAGCUUAUGUUUUGAUGCCGGUGAUUUUGUGAUUUAUCAUGGCAGAACAUAACUAAUCAUGCAGUUUGGUUUUAUUAGAGAUUAUAAUUACUUUUGAGGAACAUUUUGAUUUUAUGACCUAUUAAAGCAUGGUGACAUAAUGUAACCACAAAGAGUUGAGUUAAAAUCUUCAUGCUUUCACCUGUUGUAUAGAUUGGAGGUUUUUAAUGUAUGAAUUUCUAUGGCAGGAAGACACGUGGUAUGGGAGCUGGGCGCAAGCUCAAGACCCACAGAAGGAACCAGAGGUGGGCGGAUAAAGCAUACAAGAAGAGUCAUCUGGGAAAUGAGUGGAAGAAGCCCUUUGCCGGAUCCUCUCAUGCUAAGGGGAUUGUUCUCGAAAAGAUGUAUACGCAGACACGCUAAGCGUUUUUUUUUCUUUGGCUAUAGCUAUCUUGAUUUUCAUUUAACCACCCUGAAAUCUGGAAAAUUAUUUGUUACCCUCGCAGACGGUAAAAUUUAAUCACUUCGCCUACUUUGUUCAGUGUUCUUUAGCCAAAAUUUUGCUAGCCUAUGGGUAAUUGGACAAAGUUAUAGGCUUCAAUAUUUCAUGGUCAAAUCAGAAUUCUUAUUUGUAGGGGGUUUUCUGCACCUUUUUACUCGGUAAUUAUUAUUAAUGAACAUAUAUUCAACUGCAGCGGUAUUGAGGCAAAGCAGCCGAACUCUGCUAUCCGUAAGUGUGCUCGUGUGCAACUAGUGAAGAACGGGAAGAAGAUUGCUGCUUUCGUGCCCAAUGACGGUUGCUUGAACUAUAUCGAGGAAAACGUAAUAAAUUGGCCACACCUCUUAAUAUUUAUUAAUUUAUACAAGUAAUCCUUGUGUCUAAUGGAGAUUUUAUGUGCAGGAUGAGGUGUUGAUUGCUGGAUUUGGCCGGAAGGGUCAUGCGGUAGGAGAUAUUCCUGGUGUGAGGUUUAAGGUCGUGAAGGUCUCAGGUGUGUCUCUGUUGGCUCUCUUCAAGGAGAAGAAGGAGAAGCCCCGAUCUUAAGAGAAUUAUCAGCUGCGGUGUAUUGGAAUGCCAGAUGAUCUUGUUAAGUUAAUUGCUAUAUUUUUCGAAGUUGUAGGCUUCUGGGUAUUGUUAAGUUAAUUGCUAUAUUUUUCAAAGUUGUAGGCUUCUGGGGAUUUUGUUUUCUUAAGCUCGGAAACUUCAUAAGAGUGUUUUGAUCUUUGGAUGAUUUUCUUUAAUGUAGUGUCGUAGAGAUCGCUCUUUGAGAACAGUAUUCAUUCUUGUGGAAAUUAUUUCUUGGACAAGUGAAAUAUGCCUGCAAUUUCAAAAUUGUAAGGCCCUCUAGCCCUCUUGCAGUUAGGGUCUCCGAUCUGAUUUGGAUGCAUGCACACGUAAACUACAUUCUUUGUUUUGGGAUUUUGAAUUGAGUAACACGUUUUCAGAUGUUUUUUUUUUGGGCGGUGAUUUGGGCUUACCUUUGGCUGAAAUAUGGGAUGGCAACAUCAAAGAUAUUCUUUUUUCCUUGAAGGGUGCGUUUGGUUCGCGCUAUCUUUUAAAGAUUCCUAGUAAUCCAAUGAGAAUAAAAAAUUAUGACGGUGUUUGACUAAACGCACUAAGUAAUCUAGUUGGUAAUAUUGGAUUCACUUGGGAAUAAGAUUCACCCCGAAGUGCUAAUCUCAUUUCUUUGAGGGAGGGUGAGUAUCCUCAUAUUAAUGGAUUGGGAUAAUCUUUUCUUUCUUUCUUCCUACCCGCCGGCUAAUUGAUAUUAUUUGUCUUUACACUCUAACCUUAUAUCUCUCUCUAAAUUUAUUUUUCUCUCUAAAAUUCAACUUUUUUUUCUCUCUCUAAACUAAGCUUUCUCUCUCUCUUUCUUUCUAAAAUUUCAACUCUCCCACUCUCUCUAAUUUUGACUAUAUUUUUCUUUCUAUUUUUUUAAUUAUGCUCUCUCUCUAUCUUAUACUCUCUCUCCCUUUUUUCUAAAAAGAUGUUGAAACUUUUGGUAACAUUAUCUAAAAUUAAUUAAAUAAAUAAAUUAAUUAAUUGUAUAUUUUUUGUAAUAUUAAAUAAUAUAGCUAAUUAAUAUUAUCGUGCGAAUCAAAUAUAGAAAUUCCACAUUCUUAGUAAUAGGAUGAAUAGGAAUAAGAUUCUCGGAUAUCUUUUAUUCCUAGUAAUCUUUCAUAAUGCGAACCAAACGCACCCGAAAUGUAUUAAACGGCUCUUCGUGGGAAUCUUCUUUCCUACAUAGCAGGGUUAUUAGUGUAUCGUUGCCCUUGAGAAUCUCUCCCCCUCCCUCUGUGGGUCCCCCGCGCACACAUACACAGCCCUGCUGCACGCACGGGCACAACAACCACGGGCACGCAUGCGACAAUCAGAUUAGAAAGAAGACUUGUUUGGUACAUGAGUUUUUGGGCUCACGCAAUGAUGAUUUCAUCAACUUGAGGGAAAAUAACAGCAAAGGCCAUCGAAUGACAUUUGCUUGAAUAUUAAUCUCUGAUGAUGCCCUUGCGAUACCUUCUGAACUGUAUCUGUUUUCAAAAUCUAGUUCACAAUAGAGCUUCAUGGUGCAGAUCUGUCGAGAAAGAAAAAGUUCAUGAAAAUAUACUUCAUCUCCAUAAGCAAACAGCAAAAAUAUUUAAAUGCACAUAUCAAUAAGAAACCAAAAUGCAGCAAAUUUCGGUAUAAGAUAAAAAGUGGCUUCUUUGUCGAUACCACAUGUAAUUUAUGACAAUUGAGGAAUGAAAAUAUGUUACUAUCAUGCAUAGAUACCGGAUGGGGAGACGAACUGUUAGCAAUCUACGAUCUAGACCGUGCUGACUGGGAGUAUGACGAUGACAGCACCUACACGAAAUAAAAUUUCAGGUAAAUAUAAGUUAUGAUGAACAUUUAGGCAAUAUUUUUCAACUCUGAUGAGCAAUAAUAGCAUUACGUGAUCACCUAUUACGUAGAAACAAAUCAUAGGGGUAACUCAAAGACGACAAAAUUUAUUUACAUUUGACAAGUUUAAAGCUCCAUCUGUAUUAUCAAGACUAGAAGUAGUGUUUCUUCGCUAAGAGCUUGGAAAACAAAGAGGAUUCACAAGGUAGUACCUGAUACAUCUUUGGUCCUUUCUUAAGAAGAUAGCCAACACUGUUCAAAUUAUCCACAAAUGUGUCUAUGUCUGGAACUCUCAAGCCAAUUCUAUCCGCCAAACUGUAUAUCUCCUGGCAUAUUGAGAAAAUAAUGAAAGGUGAAUCAUUUAUAUGUCCUAAGCCAAACAACUUGCUUCUCUCAAUUGAUACAAUAAAGGAAGAGGUCCCGCAAGCUUCUACAAAAGUGUUGUUGAAUGAAUGUUAUUUCACAAAAAAAAGAAAGAAAAAGAAAUGGAGCAUUCUGACCAUAUCCAACCCCCAAAAGUUUCAUGAUGUAGCAGAAGCAAAAGUCCAAAUUCUAGGUGUUGCUUUUGAGGCUAUGAAGUUCAUUUUAGCUUGUACCCAUAGCAAAAGUUGAAUAGAGAAGCUGUUUCAAAAGUAGACCAAAUAAGCACGGAGAAACCAUAUAGGGGAAAGAUAGAGGUUCCUCACAGAAAUUGAGAAGCAAUCCUUUUGCUGCAACUCGGAUUGCUUGUUCAGGGCACUUAGAAAUCUCUUUGCUUCUUUCUGUUGACUCAUCCCACCACUCCGACCGAAGUCCACAAAUCCGUGCUCAUCAACAUAUUUGUCAUAUAAGGAUUCUUUCAUUAUCUCAACAACAUCCUGCAGACAUUAUCAAAAAUCAUUUGAACUAUAUAGAAGAGCAAGAUCUUCCCAACCGAUGAGAAAUGCACCACAAUAGUAUGUUUUGUCAUUGUUUCAGCACAGUGUGUGCACAUUGAACAGCUCGAUGGUCGACAUAGAGCAUCAUGGAGCAUAAUAAGAAAUGAACCAAUUGCGAAGAAAUUAAUUACCUUAGCAUCCUCAGCAGAUACUUCUUCUCUGAGAUCCAAACGAGCCCGAGCUUCCGCCAACCUUACAAGACUCUCCAGCUGUCUUGCUGUGAUUGGAGUGCCAUCAGCUGAAGUAUUACGGUCUCUUAGCCGCAAAUAAAAUGUUUGUAAAAUCUCUGCUGCUGCUCUAGACAUCCUAAAGAUCAUGUCAAAGUAAAUAUAAAGGAAAAGAAAAGCUAUUUAAGACGACAUCCGACAUCGCUCAUGGAAGUGAAAAAUCAUUGUAGCAAUAUAAAAUAUAAUUACCUUGGGAAAAUGAAGUUUCUUGCAUAAGUAAUGUAUUUGCGAAGAAGAGGGCCAGGUAGUGGAACAAAGUCCUUGUCCUUUUCGGUGUCCAGUCUUAACCUAGAAGCUAAUGAACCACCGUCCACUCCAGAAUCAACAAUCCCAUCACAGUUCGAUGCUGCACAAUUUUGUGAAGCAAAAUCAUUUGGUGAGAAAAGGAUAUAUUUUUCAUAUUUGCCUAUUGUAAGCUCAGAAGUUUGGAAAGAAUACCUCUUCGUAGCUUUUUACUGGGCAACAUUUUUUCUCCGUCGUUAGAAUGAAGCUGCAUUGCAGAAUUACAGAUCAAAUAAUAAGUGGAAGUAUUAAAUUCUAAACAUUAAGGUCACUGUGAUUCAUAAAAUUUUGCACUUUGAAUAAGCAUAAACUUACUAUCAUGCUUGAGCAAUAAGGAUGACCUUGAGGCAAAGAUAACUUACUGCCAUUAUAUGGUCAGAAACUCUCUUAUCCAGCAGUUCAUCAGGUUUGUCGAGUAAAAUGAAAACCAAAUCAAACCGUGAGAGAAGAGCAGCACUCAUUUUAAGAUUCUCGUUAACUGUUUUUGCCCGACUGCAACAGAAAGUAAGAAUACAGUUAGUAAGAAUACAGUUAGAAAGAAAUUAACGAAUGGUUACAAGCAUAUUAAUCCAAAUUUUGAUGAUUCAGCGAAACAGUUAAAGAGAAGGAAAUGGGCUAGGAGACCAAAAAGGUAAAUAAAUAAAUAAAUAAAUAAAUAACUGUAUCAAACUUAAAAAAGGAUUCAUGGAAGUAAAUAUUUUUUGACGCAAAAGGAGAACCUGUUCAGGUAAUUGAAAACCAUCUUCUAUACAGCUGAAUAGUUUGUUCCUGGAUCUUAAAGAACUUGCCCUACCUUACAAGAUGUUGCUAGGAACAGGCAUUUUCUAGAAAGCUUUGCUUAUAUCUAGUUGUAAACAAUAUGAACUUGUUAAAAAGAGCGUAAACCUACUUAUAGUGACCACCGACAGGAUUAGCUGCUGCUAAUACAGAAGUACGAGCUGAUAAACUUGCCACAAGACCAGCCUUUGCAACAGAGACACAUUGUUGCUCCAUGGCUUCCAAAAGAGCCUAAGAAAGUUAAAUUCCGUUAGAUCUUUAGGGCUUUUACACACAAUCUUUGAAAAACAAUUUGUUUGAAUAUUUAGGUAUAUACCUUGUACAAAAAUUCUCACAUGUACACCUCAAUAUUGCAGUUCUUACAAAAGUACCCUCGUUUAUUCAUCCAAUUUACAGGGAGGUUGGUUUUGUAGAAGAAAGUUUUUUUAUGAGGGGUAAUUUUGUUAUUACAAAAUUAUAGAGGUACAAAAUCAAAAUUUUGAAGGGCAGGUACAAAAAACUCCAAUUUGGCAGGGAUACACACAGGAUGUAUAUUCAAAAAUAUCUAUCCAAAGCACACAUAGUAUCACAAAUCCUGUUAGCGAUCAAUGUUAAAUAUGCACCUGAUGCUCAGCAGACAUUUUAUCAAACUCAUCAAUACAGCAUAAUCCACGAUCAGCAAGAACCAUGGCACCUGUUUGCAAAAGCCAAAACAGUCUCUGCUUCAUUGCCCAAAAAUGGAAAAGAAACAAAGAAAGCCCAUGGAGUGUUGUUUGUAAAUUUUUCAAAUUGAAUGCUUCAAAAGAUGCGUUUGUGUUGUUAGUAAAUUUAAAUGGAAGAGAAGGACAUUCUACAUGACAAACUGCUGAAGUUUUAUGUGUACCUGCCUCGAAAGCAUAAUCACUUGUCAUAGAAUCUUUAACUACAGCAACAGUUAGACCAGCAUUCGUUGUUGCAUUGCCGCAUACAUAUAUGCCUCGCGGAGAAACUGCUGCUGUAGCUUGUAGAAGCUGGCUCUUACCUAGUCCAGGAUCACCUAAAAUAGCAGAUAAUACAACUGAUUGUUUUGCAAUCUUAUAUGAUGAACAAGAUAUAUGGUUGAAGUUUAAUCACAAAUUACCAACAAUAAUGACAUGAAUGUCUCCUCGAACUGGAACCUUAUUUUGAUCCAUUGAAUGCUUUUGCACACCACCAAAUAGUGCAAGCGUGAUACCAGCUGAAAAUCAGGCCAACAAUAUUUGCGUAUGAGAUUCUGCUGUAUAGAUCAAUAAACUCAAUGAGAAAACAAAAGUACCACAAUGUGCUACACAAGUACUUAACAUCUUCUAGCCAUGCAUAUCAACUUGGUCUCCCCCAAGACAUAGAUUGGAAAUGGAAUAAUUUGCAACCUCGUUGUAUUUAAGGAAUGAUGAACUUAUUGUAAUUAAGGUCAUAUUAGAACUUUAGUUCUGAUGCAGAACAAUGCAAAGGAAAAAAAAAGGGAAAGGAAACAGAGGGAUUUGUCUUCAACCUAUGAAUCACAACUAGGGAAGGAGGCUUCGAACCUUCAAUUUUUGGAAGAACAAUUGCCCGUAAAACAACAAUGGCCUCAGACUAAUAAUCUUCUAAACCAUGAAAAAUAUUUUGAAUAAUCAGAAGUUAUCUGAUAGUUGUUCCACAGUAUUCAGAAGCAUGUAUUGAAGGAUCUUACCUUUUACAAGUUCAUGUCCAUAAAUAGACGGGCAGAAAGAAUGAAGUAUUUGACGGAAUACAUCGGAACCAUGCUCCUCAGAGAACUUAACAAUGAACUCCAGAUCCCUUUGUGAAAAUGCAUGAAAAUCAAACAGCAUUUUGGCUUUACUGUCAGAGUUAUUUACUUCAAACUCUUCAGAAGUAGUCUGAGCCUUGGAGUUCCUCACAGAAACUGCUUCCAGAUAUAAAUAAUACAGCCCCUGAUUCUUAUUUUUUGACUUCCCUGAGAAGGAGAAAGAGAUAUUCAGACACUCAUUUGAGCCUAUCUUGUAAAACCACUAAAUGGAGAAGACGAUGAAUAUGUUGCUCCUAAUGCAAUAAAAUAAAAAAGAUGAUAGGUAUUUAUUUAGCAAACGUCUCUAAACUGCCUUUCAGAGAAUAAAAGCCGCAAAAUGUUUGAAGUAAUUCAUAAUUAGUCAAGAAAUAUUAAAAUAAAUUUCCUAGUGAACUAAUUGAUCUAUUUAGUCCCUACAAUCUUUACCAUUAGACAACAACUGUCGUCGAACAAUCAUAAUGAAUACCAUAGCAUAAUCUGCUAAUCAACAUGGAAAACGUAUUCUAAACUAAAGGGACACUUAUAACAGUUCAGAGUGAAGUGCAACUAGGCAGAAGGGUACACAAAGCGUUCCAUUCACGAAAAGAUUUGCCAAUAAAAGCGUAGAAAUUAUACCUCCUCCAACAUCCAUGUAAUUAUUGAUUACUUUCACAAUUCCAGUGACUGUUACAAUGUCUCCAGGGAUGCAUGAAUCAACAAGAUCUUCAGUCAGUUCACAUUCUACAGUCCUUGGGACCCGGCCUUCUUCAUGGCUUCCAGAAUUGAAUAGUUCCUGAAUCCUGGAUCACCAGAAGGAAAACAAUAUAUAGUAUUAAAACAUAUCACUGUGGCUAAAAAAGUAAGUACUCAAGCUUGAAAAUCAAUUGCCUUAUCUUUUGAAAAUCCAUUAGCUUGGCAUUGGAUCGGAUAGGGCUAAAAGUACGGCUCUUGCACCCAUGAACACUGCAAAUUGCCGGCGGUGAAAAUUUCCCAUCACAAAAGACACGGCCAAUUACAGUUCCACACUUCCCACACGCAAAAUCCAAUCGUAGCACAAGAGGCUUCACGGUGCUAACUUUGACGACACUUCCACGCACAGAAACUAGCUUCUCUGUAAUACAACUUUAAGUAAACAUCUUCCAUUUAAUAUGACCUAAGAGUCGUAAAAAAUAACAUUGCCCUAAAAGUUAUAAAAUUAAAUAAAGAUGCAUUACUGAUAUAUGCCGCUUUCAAAUUCUUCAAAGCGAUCAUCGACUCAGUGUGGUUAUAAAGCCUAACAUUAAUCUUCUCUAUAUCCUCUAACCGUAAGCUCUUCUCCUUCCCACACAGAGUCUGCUCAAAAAUUGAGUACCAAUAGUUGUAAGUCACCAAAAAAAGGGUUUAAAAGAAAAAAGAAAAGAAAAUGGAGAUGGGAUUGAGCAGGGGAUCUACCAAGUGAGCCGCAGCGCCCAAGCAAAGCAAAGCUUCUCUCGGCGCUUCCUGAAGAGCCGCAUAAAACUCCGCAACUCCACACACCUUCUGCAGCUGCUGGAAAUCGACAGGAAGAAAGAAGAUGCCACUAUCGUCUUCGAUCUACGCCAAAUCCAAGUUUCCAACAGUUAAUUCCACAUGAAUCGAAGCAACAAGAGCAACAAACCCUAUCCAAUUGCUGUUCCUGUGAUCAUUCCCAAACAUCACGAACCCGUAAUAGGGAGAGAGAAAUGGUGCGGAAUUGGGUACCUGGGAGAGGAAAUGGUGGGAUCGGGGAGCGGAAACGAAGAAGGAUCUGAGCUCGGCGAUGAGGUGGAGCUUGGGAUCGUCCAUGGCGAGCUCGGCGUGGGGGAAGUAGCUGGACCAGAUCCGCGCCACCUCGCUCGGAUCGGUCGAACGGUCUCGUAUUAGGGUUUUGUGGGAUUCGACGUGCAUCGUGGUUUGGAUCCCGGCGGGGGACGGAGGGGCGUGGCGGCGCGAGCGAACAAUCGAGAAAUGGGAGAGGCGGGAAGAGAAGAUAGAGGUGGCUUUGUUUUUGAGCUGAGCGGGGAGUGGAGAAGAGGAUGCUCGCUGUGGUGUAUAAACCGGGUCUUAAGAACUCAAAACAUAGAGAUUUUUAAAUCUAAAUAAAAAUCAUUUGAUGUGACCAUCAACUUUAAAUAGCAUCUAUGCGAAAAUUAAUAUCUCUUUUUCAAAAGGAAAAGAUAUUAUUAAGUAUCAACUUAACAGUUUUUAACUAUCUAUUAUUUAGAAAAUAUUUAUAAUAAAAAAAUAUUAAUUUCAGUGUAGAAAUUUUUUGAGUGAGUAAUAUAGGUUAUACGUUAACAAUUCAUUUUGAUAUUUUAAGACACAGACUUCAAGUGUUCGAGUAUUUAUUUCUACCGAAAGAGCUGAAAGCUGAGAGCCAAAAUCUGAAGCGAAUCUUACUUCCAUGCUUUUAACUUCACCCAUGCCUGUUCCAAAAUACUAAGCAACUUCGACCAACGCAAUUACAUCCCACUCCAAUCACAUCCAAAAACCAAGAAAGUGAUCAACCGGCGACAGAUUGAAAAAGUAAACGCUGGAAAAAGGAAAUUGAACCAAAACAGGUAAUAACUCUCUUUGGCUGCAGCAUAGUAAACGCUAUCUAAGCAAAUACUCACUGUUUAUUAAUUAUGGCACUGCACUAUGACAAGCUAAUUCACUGGUAUAGAUAAGGAUACAAAUCAUAACCUUUCUCCUUGAGGGAAUGGCUAUAUGCUCCUCAAGAGUAACCAACACAUAAAGAGAAAAGGAAAAGCAAUGAAAUGACAAAAACAUAGUCCAGCAUAUACAAGGAGAAUAUAAACUAAAUAAGUGAAACCAUAUAAACUAAACAAGAAGUGAAAUUAACUUCCGCAAAGCAAUUUACAACUGGGAGAUUACGACGAUAAUUAGAUCCCAGAACUCCAGGGCAUUAGCUUUCUUCCUUUGGAGAGGAUAGCGAGAUUCUCUACCUGCUACCACAAACACCAAAAGAAAAAAAAAAAGAUUAUUAGAAAUUUUAACAUCUCAAAAGCGGGUUAAAACAAUUUUCACAGACAAAGCAACUUCAAGGGGCAAAGGUACAGCUAGAAACACAAUUGAAUGAAUAGCAGCUAGAGGAGGUUAUACAACAAAAGUGAGGGAUGUUGUAAUGGGAGUGCUUUAAAGAAAAAAAGAAAAAAAAAGAAAAAAAAAAAAAGAAGAGAAGCAAAAACAAAUCUCACAGACAAAGCAACUUCAAGGGGAAAAGGUACAGCUAGAAACAUAAUUGAAUGAAUAGCACCAAAAGGAGGUUAGACAACAAAAGUGAGGGAUGUUGUAAUCGGAGAUUCCAAGUGCUAAAGAAAAAAGAAAAAAAAAGAAGCCUUUUAAGAAUAAAUAAACAUCAAAGUCGAGGUAAAAUUGAAAGAUAUAUUACCUCAAUAAGAAAAUAUCUAGCAGUAGCAGGAAUAGGCAGUUAGUGAUUAGCUUGAGAGAUCCCCAUUAUGGUACUGAAAAAUUGAAGAAAAAAAAGGAAUAAGAACAACCUAUUCAUGGAAAGCAAGAUAAAAUUUCGAUAUAUAAAAAGGCUACAGCAAUUCAAAAUUUCUAGAAUCAAGAAAUGGAAAAACAAUGUUUAUUAUCAUUGAUGAAUAUGUCAAUGGUCUCUGAUACAUAUAGCACAAGACGACAUACGCGAUAAUAAUACAGUGAAUUGAUGUGAUUUUAGGGUAAGUUGUUGGAGUAUUUUUAGUAUAGAUGCACACGACAACGAAAAAUGACAGAAAAGAGCAUCUCUUGCACAAGUGUAGUUCAAAUUUAUGAAGGCAGCCAGAAUCCAGUCGGAUUCAAAGAUGGCUGGUAGAAGACCAGCAUAAUUAGAAAGAAAACCAUGAUGAGAGCAGCUUUAGGGAUAUUCGACUAUAACAGACUAAAAAAUGAAAAAGAAAAGAAUGGAAUAUUGAAAUUGAUAUAAGAUAGGAAGUUCAUGGUUAAUAUAAGGAAAAACUAAGUACUAAUCAGAAAAGACAGAAAAAUGAAAUAUGACAUCAUCUACUUAUCAUGAAGGCAGAUCCAAUAUUUGUUGGGAAUAACUACAUUUCAAGCAAACAGAACAUUUGAGAAACAACCAUAUUCCGAUAAACUAAAAAGUGAUUAAGACAAUACCAUGUAGACCCAGUUUGGAUGCAUGAAUAUCUUGUUCUAUAUAUUCCCUUGCUUUACUCAAGAAAUUGGUACGUUUGGUGGAUAAAAAGUUUGAUCAGAAACUUAAAAUGGAAUAUCAUAUUUGACCUUCAAAUUACUUUUUCAGAAUAAGAUAAAUCACCUGGUAGGUUAAAUAUGCUAUCCCAGCAAACCAUGGAUAGCAAGGCCUUUCAAGAAACAAAAAUCAAACUCUUUAGUUUCAAUAAUAUUAGAAAAGUCUCGUACUUAAUAAGUUAUCCUUGGAUAACUUAUAUUGACAUCCAAACAUGGCCUUAAAGUUCAGUAUAAGCUAUCAAUAUUCCUUUAAUGUUUCUAAAAAAAAUGUACGAACAAGAGUCUUCAUUUAAAGACAAAAUAAUACAUCUUUCAGUAAUGAUAUUACUUACCAUUACAACAAAAAUGAACUUUCAGUAAUGAUAUUACUUACCUGUUUCAUCAAAACUAAUUGUAACAAUAAAAUUGUAUUUAAUUUAGAUGAUACAAAUAGGAAGAGUGCCAAGAUGGAUAUUUACCUUAAUUAUCUCAAUUGGUCAUUACAAAGACUCAUAUUUUGCAAAACAGAUAUCAAAUCCAUAUUAUUCUGUACAACAACACAGUAUGGAGCCCCCAAAAGGAAAACAGUUAGGAGACAACAAAUAAAGCGAAGUACCUGAGGUUUCAUAUAGCUCAUUCCCUGAGUGUAAGACCCCAGUUGGCUCAUCUGAAAAAGUAUGAAAUACAGGUAUUUAGUUCCUGAAAAUGAUGAUAAAACCCAUUGAUGAAAUAAGAUAGAGCACAAACCCCUUGGCUGCUUGGGCCACCUUGAGCUCCACCGUGAGGACCUGCUACAUCUUUCUUAGUGCCGUCUCCGCCCUUUCCAGACAUCUUGUUAUCACCCUGCGAAGAACCAAAGAUUAUUAAGGGACCACAAUUACCAUAAUGUUUGAUAUCCCUUCCCCCUUCCCCCCUCGCCCUUUUCCCUACCACCUUUCCAAGAGCUUUUCAGUUUCUCAUUUGAUAAACUUAUUUGCAUACUAUAAAAAAACCAAAAUAAGGAUCUAGUUAUUCCAGAUUUAAGUUCCUCCAGUAGGUGCCACAUUUGGCAUUGAAUAGGUAAAAUUUAAUUUUCAAGAUUAACAUCAGAACACUAAACAGCAAAUGAGCAUCAGUUACCACAGUAAUUUAACAAUUAAGUAGCACUGAUACAAACAAAAACACAACUAUAGCAGGCUUGACAGGAUAUCAACUGUGAUAACUAAAUAGUGUUACAAGUUCCUCGGAAGCGAAGUGUGGCAAAUGUCACAAAUUGCACUUAUGUGAGCAUUUUAUCUAUUUUAAGCCUGUAUAACCCUGUAUAACACAAUUCUACAUAGUGUAUAGUAUAUAGUAUAUAGGGAUUUAAAUAGCUAAUUCACAUGCUUUGCAAAAUACAGAGAUUAGUAUCCAGCUCCAUUUUGUCCAUAGUGAAGAAUAAAUAAAUAUAUUCAUAAAAAAAAAGUGUUCAAUCAACUAAUUAAGCCCCUAUUAACUGUAGAAUAAGAACAUGGAAAAUAAGAUGAAAUUUGUUGAAUGGAACAAUCCCGACAAAAAAUAUAUAUCACUACCGACUUCCCUAAUAGCACACGAGAAAAUUACAAGACGAGUUUCAGAUCACAUACCUCCAUCUAUAACAGCAUAUCCGUGGCCCAGAAAAGAAACGCACCAGAGGAAGAAAAAGGAUAAGGGGUUAAAAAAAGAAAAAGAAAAAAGGAAAGCACUGUUAAAAACUUUGUAAAUAGGAAGGGAAACGUUACAGAUUCAGGCACAAGCCACUUGUACGUGAUCAAAAUGAACCAAUAACAUAUGAUAAACUAUACAAUUGCAGAGUACCUCUCGAUAUUUUUGCAAGUAUAGCUUCAACGGCUCGAUAUAGUCCUCAAACCCCAACGUCGCCAUCGCCCAGAGCAGAUCAUCGCCAUUGAUCGUCUUCCUCUUCUCCCUCUGGCACUUAUCACUCGCCCUAGAUCACCACAUACUAUAUCAUCAACAAAAACAGAAUCCAUUCGAUCAAAAAGAGAGAGAGGGGUGACGUACUCGCUGGUGAUGAAGCUGAUGAACUCGGAGACGCACUCCUGGAGGGUCUCCUUGGCGUCCUUAGCGAUCUUCCCGUUGGCGGGGAGCGCCUUCUUCAUGAUGCGGCUGAUGUUGGCGAUCGGGAGGAACCGGUCCUGCUCCCGCACGCCCGACCUCGGGCUCCCGUCGCCGCCGCUCUCGUGGCUCCCUCCGCCGCCGCCUCCGCCGCCCGGGCUCCCCGGCGCCUCCGCCAUAUUCGAAGCCCUAGAUCCAUCGCCAUUGUAAACACAAACCCUAGCUGCUAAAAUCCGAAGCACGAAACCCUAGAUCGAGGAGGGAGAGAAAGGGAGGAGAUACCUGUGUGUGCGUGAGAGAGGGGGGAGGAUUGGUGGAUUCGUAUUUAAGCGCGCGCCGAGGAGGGGAGGAGAGAGAGGGGAGGGGGGGCGGUGGAGAGCGGAGGAGAGAGAUCGGACGCUGGAGAAGAGAGGGAGGAGGAGACGAUGAGGAUGCGAGAUUGGGAGCAAGGUUUGGCUAUCUACACCGUUCAUGUAGCAAACCACCUUCUAUUUAUAGCAGGGGUUCCCCAGCGGCGACCAUUGACCCGGGGUGGUGAGAUGGGUAAAUGGGUCGGGUAUUGUCCGCUUGAUCCGAAAUUUAAGUGACAGGGGCUAAUUAUUAUAAGUUUUUAGUUUGGACCAAAGUUCAAUUUUGCUCUAAGAGUACAAAUUAUUAAAAAAAAAAAUUGAUGCCUGAAGUUUAUUAUAAUUUAACAUCAUCUUGAAAGUUUUGAUUUUGAUCCUAAAAUUUAAUUUAGACUCUAGUGGCAGUGUGGAUGAGGUAACUUUUCAGAUAGUAUACUAACAAGUAAACCUAAUUAUUAUAUCAAAAUAAUAAUAAUAAUAAUAAUAAUAAUAAUAAUAGUAGUAGUAGUAGUUGAUUUGUCAACAUUGAAGUAUUGAACCAAUGAUGGUAAAAUCGAAAUAAAUUAUCCGUCAAAACAUUAGAAUACUAAACUCGUAUUAGUAGCCAUUUGACUCGAGUUCCGCCUCUGCUUUAACAAGAGAAUUGAACAAGCAACUGAAACGGAGGAAUUGUAGUUUUGGAUCUGCCAAUAUCAAAAGCAUUUAACAUAGAGGAUUUAAAAAAAAAAAGAUCACUGCCAAGUCAACGAAAGAUUGCAACUGAAGAAUGGAUGUUUUUUAAUUCACUAUGUCAUGACAAGUCCAAUACAAUUGCGUGAACAUAAGAGUAGAAUAGUAAAAGAAAAGCCUCUUUUCCCUCUAUAUUGUCAAGUAAAAGAGCAGUCAAUUUAAAAAGAAAAUUAGAAAAAAAAAGGGGGGGGGAAAUUACUUUUAAGAAAACCUAGAUCUCUAUCUCGGUUGAAAAAAUUAGACCUGCUUCCCAUCAAAAGGCAAUCCAUGCUCUAACCUAUAAGUAAUUCGGGCGCAUUCUCCUAAAUGUCGCCCGCAAAUAUACAAAAAUUCUUUUUUUUUCUCUACUGUAUCUGAUGAUUUACUUCUCCUCAGAAACCCUUGCUGGAAACUGAAGCAGAGACAGCCGACUCAGAACUCCAAUGUCCAAUAUACAGCUUCACAUCUGAAAAAUAAUAGUAAACUGCCGCAAGCUUAUUUUCCUUCUGCUGUACUCGAAUAAUUCUAAGAAGCAAAAAAGAUUUUGCAGAAGCACUUGAUUCGAUCAAUCGUCCUCAUCGGCUAAAAGAGAGAAUGAGAAGGGUCUGAAUUUGUAACCAUCGCCGUGGUAGAACUUGCUCAUAAACUCGACCCAAUGAAGACGCAAAGCAUGGAGGAAAGCACUUAAGGUCUCCAUCAUAAGCAAUAUGAAUGCAGUAGCAAAGGCAAAAACCGCAAGCCCAACUAGCCUUAUGAUAAGGUUAUCGUACCUGUUGACAUCAUUGUUAUGUAUAAAUACAAAUACAAAAAAGAAAUCAUGAAAAUUUGGGUUCAUAGUUCUCAUAUCUCUAAUGCUAGAUUUGUUAGUAGCAGAUAAAUAGUUUUGGGUGCUCGGCAACUGAAUGACCAAAGAGAUCAGGAUGGGUAUGAAAUGCAGUUACUAUAGAAUGCUAAAUGUAGAAGACUCCAUUUUAAAUAUCCAGAAUUUCACAUUGUCCACCUAAAAUAGGAAAAGACUGAGGAGCACCGAUGGCACAAGGCAAAGGAGCAAAAAAAAUUGCUGUUUAAGGAUGUAACAUAAAGAUUUGAACAAUUCAAUAGGGAAAAAUGAAAAUCACAUAUUUAUAGGGGACUUAACAGCAUUUUAGCCUUUUAUCCACAUAUCCUGCACUAAUAGGGGAAAAAAGGGAGCAAGCCCAGGGACUAGAAAAGCAUCAAAGAAUCCAUGUAUAAGGUUAAGUCUUGAGUUAAAAGCUCACCCCCAAGCAAGGAGUAGCAACUUCUCAUAAAAAACUGUGGACAACUCCGAAUGCGCCAAGCUGAAAUCAGAAAGAUACCAGGGGAAUCAAUAAAGGAAGUAUCAUUUGCAAAAACAAAAUAUUGAUUAAGAAGUACCAGUCCCAAGACAAUAUAUUAACUAAGAACAACAAAAGGCAUACCUCAGAGCCCAUAGCCGAAGGUAGGAUGCAGUGUUUGAGACCGCACCAAGUACAAACUCAAUAGAAUGUAUCAUCUGAUGCACAAAUAUCUCGCUGAAAUUGAAAUCCUCGUGGUGGUGGCGUAGUCUUGCAGAAUCAGGUUCAACAUCAAGAUCCGUCUCUGAUGUCCCAAGAAAGCCAUAAGUCCGACCUUGAAAUCUCUGUACAAAGAAAAACAGAAAAAGAAUAGAGAAAUUCCGACAAAUAGUUAAUAUAUACAUGGCGAAUGUAUUAUUCUCCUCAUGAAAGUUCAUCAAACAGCUCUACUCUAAAACCGCUACUACAAGCUCCAGCCAGGGAAAACAAUAUGCUAGAGACAAGGAAUAAUUUUCAGUUAAGUUGUUUAAAUUUAUUUACUCGAGCACCUUGGCACAAAUCACCAGCUGUAUUCCGAACAUGCUGGUAAUUCCUUUUGCAAAGAUCUAAGGAGUUAAUGGAUCUACCUCCAUAUGAAGUUUUCUCAAGAUGAAAGGCUUUGGAAAGAGCAUCCACGGAACUGCUGCAACAGCCAUAAGCAACAAAAGAAUCUGUGAAGGAACCAACCAAGCUUUAGCAUAAAGGAAACUAAAAAUAACCGCCCAUUUCUUUAUCUUUCAAAAUUGAUUAUUACCUGCAGUUGUUUCUGACCCCAAAACAGCUGAUUUUCACCGAGAUCCCCUGUUGGAUCGAGAAACAUAUAAAUCAUCACAUGAUACAAAUCUGCUUGAGACCCUGUGCACCACUUGAUGAUAAUGAGGAGUGCAAGAUAACCAAAAAGGCUGUUAAGAAAGAUCAUCUGAGGCAUGAACUGAUACCUGCGGAAAGAUCAUAGAAUAUAAAUAUCUUUUCAGUUCGACUGGAGAAUAGGUUUUCACCAGUCUUUGAUGAUGUGACUUAGUCCCUGAACUUUUCAAAACCAUUUUAGUCUGUAAACUUUCCUAAAUUCUGCAAUUUGCAUUCCACCAUACAAUGCCUAUUUAGUAAUGUGCUCUGCACAUGACCCUGUCCUGUAAAAGGACCAUUUUCUGUUGUAGCAAAUAAAGUGAAUGGAGAAUCCAUUUUAUCCAAGUGGAAUAAAAUGGUCAUGUAAACGGACAGGAGGUCAUGUGCAGAACACAUGACUUAGCGUUACACAGCAGGUGAACUGAUCAAGGGAUGCAAUUGUAAAAUCUAGGGAAGUUCAUGAACUAAAAUGUUGAAGUGAAAAUUCAGGGACUAUUGGACUAAGGUUCAAUAUCAGGAAAUUAAAUGGACUACAACACUUUAAUCAAUUUCAAAGCAUAAGACCACUCACAAAAUAUCAAGGGAGUUUCCAUGAAACUUCGCAUCAAAGUAGCUUAAUAUGAUCCCUAAGUUCAUCUGGGAAAUACCCAAAAGGAUAGACAUCUUCAUUUUUAGGGAGUUCAAGAACGGUAGCUCAGAGCGACUCCCUCGCCAUCUGGGGUCCACGCCAAAGGGGUAUGGGUUGCGGUAUUUUAUGAGGCCCGCUGUACUUGCAUCACUGAUGCACAUGAAAAAAGUUUCAGAUAGUCAACUAAGUUGGUGAAAUAAAAACAGACAUAGUUUGGCAGAUAGAAGUAAUAUGAAAGAAAUAUGUUAGAAUUACUAAGAAAAAUAGGUAAACUUAUAGUUCUUAAGCAACAUAUUUGGGUGAGAUUCCAUAGGCAAGUAUUCAUCCACUAGUCAGUUACAAUUUUGUCAUCAGCGCUAAGCGUGAGCAAUAAAACUACAUAUAUUGUUAUGUAGAAAUGAGAAAACUAACAAUAUAUUUCUUAAUUAAAAGAGACCAAAAGGAGAGUUUCAUACCUACAAGUGGCAUCCCGACAUUUAUAUGCAGAUUGGCCGAAUAUGUAAAAUGGCACAGAAAAGAAUUCAUUAUAUAUCAAUCCACAAUAUAUCGAAAAUAAUGCCAUCAACAAAAUUACAUAGCGCCCACCAAAUGCCAUCUCCAUAAAGCUGCCAAGUUUCUGAAAAAUAAAAAAUAAAAACAAAAAUAACUUUGUCAAUGGAGACAGCGUACCUCCUUAGUGAAGGAUCAAUAAUAUAAAACUACUGUGCAAUGUAUAUUCAAAGGAUUGGACACAACAUAAAAGAAACAACAUUAUCUCCCAUAAAAAGAUUGGAAUCACAAGGUAAUCAAACUUUGACGAGAGCAUAGUGAACAAGUUAAAAAGAUUGGAAUCACUUCGAACAACAUGCACAGAAAACCAAAAGUGAAACAGCAACAGCAUCUCUAGGUACCCAACAGAUCAGCUCUGUAUUGGUUACACUCUUUCUAAGCGAUUUAGAUAAAAACUAUGCAUAUUUUAUUAUUUUCUUAAUCAAGUUAAGUAAUAUUCUACAUUCAAAGUUUCUUCCAUAGUUGUAUAAACUUUUACCCACACAAACCUGAGAUCCAAGUUUCUUCUCGCGAGCGAUAAGCAUCAAAGAUCCCAACAGCAAACAUAUUCCAUGACCCCAAUCUCCAAACAUAACAGCAAAAAGAAAUGGAAACGUGAUGACAGAAUAUACAGCAGGAUUGGCUUCUUGAUAUCUAGCAACACUGCAACACAACAGGGUCCAACAAUCAAUACUCAGAAAAUCCUGUCUAAUGGACAAAGACACAUCAAAUGGAAAAAUACAUUAAAAUGUACAUCAUAACUAAGAGUUGAAUCAUUGUAUGUCCAACGAUUACUUAAAUAAGAUUUAAAAUAUUAGACAAUAUUUACUGCUUUGAGAUGGACUUGGUCCUCAACUUCUUUCCUAAAAGGUCAGUUAAAUUACUCGUGGAAAAAAAAAAAACAGAUUUGAUGCUCUCUUCUCGAAUUUUGAGCCCUACUUUGCGGAAUUUCAUUACAUGGUUGAAUUAGGAGAGGACAUGUUCAGCUGUAAAAGAAAGAGUUAAUGGACUAAAAGUUAAGAUGGAAACUGUUAGGUUCCCACUCUUUUCUUUUCCUAUCUCCUUUUUCUUCAUAUUCACCUUAAUUCUAUCUUCUUUUCUCAGCGGGUUACUGCUGAAAUCAAAAGUCUAUUGCAGAAAUGAAAAUCUUCAAAAGAAAUCAGCGACAGACUUUUGUUUUGUAAAUGUAAAUUCCCAACCAAAAAAAAAACAAACACAUAAUUUCCAAUAAAACAAUUGCUAUGGAAUUUAGCAGGCAUACUUCAUGAGCAAACAACAUACUUAUGUAGUAAAAACAAAUGCUUCAGUGGGAUCAGACACAAACCCAUAUGCAUCCACAAUCUCCUGAAAAGCAUGUGUAAACCGAUUUGUUUUGAAAUAUGUAGGUGGUGAUUCAACAGCGUCCAUUUCAUGUAAUAUUGCGCCCACUUGUGAAUUGCUAUGAAGUGUCGCACGCUGCAAGGCAUCCUUGAUCUGCCAUGUGAUAAAAAAAAAAAAAGAAGAAGAAAAAAACAGCUAGUCACUAAACUUGUAAACUUGAAAGGAGAUACUAGAAAUAGUAUCUAUAUCAUGGUCUUCAUUUGUAAACCAAUAAUACUAUAUAUUAAAAGACAAAAGUAUGACCUGAGUCUUAGCAAAUAUAGGACACCAUCCCUCUCCAACGAGGCAUUUUUUUGUCACAUCAAAAUUGAGCAUGUUCAGCGUAUCAUAUACAGCCUUCUCCUUUCGUACCUGAAAAAGAAUAUGGAGAAUGAUAAAAUUGCACGUCUUGAUCUGAACAUUUUUUAUCAAGACGAGGCAUUCUCCUUUCGUAUCAUAUACAGCCUUCUCCAACGAGGCAUUCUUGAUCUGAACAUUUUUUAGUCAGAUCAAGAAUAUGUUUUAGUGUCCAGUAGAAACUCAGAAGAAAGGAAACAAAUCGCAAGUAAAAUUCAGAUAAAUACAACUAUUUUUAUUACCACAAUAUUCCACCUCCAUAAUUGGGAUCCGAUAGAAGCUAGAGCUUUAUUUCUAUGACGUAUUCCAGCAUCCAGAGUGGCUUCUAAAUCAGAUAGACGUAAGGUGACCUGGACAAAUUCCAUUGCAAGUUAUUGCUGGAAUAUACGAUAUCCACAAAAAAUACCUUGCUAGAAUUUUAUAUUUGCUUCUGCUUCAGCUACUCUACCCAAAAAAAUGGGUUCUCUUCUAGGUCAGGUAAUAUACAAGAUUAUUGCUGAAUGCAAUUGAAACAUCAGAUGUAAAAUAAAUGGUUCAUGAUGUCUAAAUGGUUAAAACAAAGUACCUCUCGAAUUAUUUGCCUCUUCUUAAUACUAUCCUCUGGAACAGGAUAGCAACUUGCCCCAAAUGCAUCACAAAUUUUUAAUAUUUUUGUUUUAGCUUGCUCCCCAGAAAAGAAGACUACAAACACGAUUUUUUCUAUCUGCAGCCACCAAAACAGAGAGUUAGAGUUGGUUGUUCUGGUUAGUAUAUUCCAAAUUUCAUCCACAAGGGACCUUAUGGGCUAUUUUAAGCAAUCAAUUGAUCAGCUCUGUCAAAAUAAUUUCAAUCUAUGGAGCAGAAAAUUAAUCAACCAUCACAUCAAGGAGAGGAAAUAUUGCCAACAUACAUGAAAAAACAACAAGGUUUGCUAAGUGAAAAGAGAAACAGGAGUUCACAAACCAGUUCACCGGAUACUGGAUCAGCAACAUGCUCUCCCGCAGGUGCUUGAUUAAAGAACAUAUUGCCCCUCGUCGCUCGGAAAAGCAUCCUCUCGAACGUUAAUGCUUUAGAUUUACAUAUGAUCCCACUAAUGAAUCUCAAGCCAGAUUUUGAAGUCUCAGGCUGCUCACCCUGUACAAAUACAUUUAUAAUAAAAGAUGAGAACAAUAUGAUCUCUAGGAAUAAAAUAGAAUAGAGGGAUAAAAUACCUGCUCCAGUAAAGAUGCGGUCUCCCCAUCCUCUUCUUUGGAGUAUACAUUUUCAUCUAACUCUCUCUCAGCUGGAGCUGCAUGAUUGUGAGAUGAAGCAAGGAAGCCACCUGCCUGGAAUAAGACAUAUGAGAAGGAUCUACACCAUAUAUAUUAUUCAAUAAGCUGAAGCUGAAAGGCUAGUUACCGUGUUAUUUUUGAAAACCUAUAUUAAGCUAAAUGUUCCUUUUUUUUCUCUAUUAAAUAGAUAAACAGACUUCCCAGAAUAAACCUAAUCGGCAGAGGCCAACAGUAAUUGUGCAUCUUUGCCGAGGAAAGCGAGAAUGCAAACAAUGGUGAAAUCAUAAAUGUGGAAAUAGUUAGAUCAUGAUCAAACAUAGCCAAAAAAAAGCAAAACGAACAAAAUGAAACAAAAGCUUUACAACAAAGGAAGUCAGAAGAGAAAAGGGAGAAAAACAGUUCUUUUUUUAGCUUUUAGGACUGACAAUUUCCUAAGAGUUCAAUUUUAUUCUGGGAAGAAUGAAAUAUAAGACCAAAAAGAAAUAUCUUUCCCGCACCUACUAGCAAAAAAGCUCCGUACUUUUUCUGAGCAAGCUAAUGAUUCAAUUAGCAGGAAAUCAGGAAACUACCUCAAGUAGCAGAGAUAGACAAGAACCUACCUUUAACAAAACCAGCUUAAAUUCAAGGAGCUCAUUGUAUGAUUGGCGAAGCUUCUCACUGUUUGCAUUCAUUUCUAGAAGCUCAGACUCAUGUUCACCCAAAUGUACCUAAAAUAAAGAGGAUACAUUAUAUGAUACUAAAUACUCAUAAUUAAUGAGAAUAAGAUAAUUUGCAGAAAAAUUUAGAAAGAGAUGAGUAAUUUACCUCUAGCUCCUCCAAAGUGAAAUCUGGUUGCAAAGCAGGUAGAGGAGAAGAUGUGAGCCCCGCCUUGUUGAUCUGAUCGCUCAAAAACCUUAAUUUACGUGACAUCUCUGCACAUCUCUUCACCUAGUAGAGAAAAUAAAGAUUGGAUGACUGCUGACUUUAAUAUGCACCAACACUGCAUUCGAAGAAGAGGUACUCUUAAAAAUAUUUUAGAUCACUUGGGAUUUUGUUUCUUGUUUAUUCCAUUAUGUUAUUUUAUAUGCGUUUCUAAUAUAGUCUGCCUAUAUGGUUAAAUAUGCCACUCUAGUAAUAGGUGCUUUAAACAAGUUCAACUUAUUCUAUUUACAAACAGAAGCAGGUAAGGGCGGAGUAUGGGCGACGGAUGGUGGCAUCGACAAUGCAGAGAAAAGAUGGACCGAAAGAAGGCACGCAGAAGCUAUAUACUCGGAACUACACCGGGCCCCACCCACGCGUAAAACAUAGACAGCGAGCCGUGCUGCUUCAAGGCUCUCCUUUCAUAUAGUUUUAGAGAUAUCCAAGCGGACAAUCCUGAUAACAACUUGCGCAGACAAUGUCAAUUGGGGUUGCCUAAUGCCUAACCAUGAAGCGAGAUUGAGGGCUUUCACCGUAUGAUUUAGUUUUAAGUCUGGCCCUGAAAAAGCAAUUAGCCUGCUUUGCAAAUCCACCAUAUGAAUUUGAUUUCAAGUAAAAUUCAAUAUUGGGAUGAAUACAGAAAACAGGAACCAACAUUCUAUAUCAGCAACAGCAGAAAGAUCCUUACGCCAAGUCAGCCAAUCACCAACACAUGGACACCUAAUAUGUAGCAACUCUAGAAGACAUGAAGGACAAGAAAAAAGAAAGCACAGAGCAAACCCCACUUUUAAGGAGAAAUUACUAUCAUUGUCAGGGUAAGGCAUCAACUACCUAAAUAGAAGUAGAUUAUGGAACUAUUGGCACGCUGUUGACUUCUUCAUUAGCUUGCCGAUGACAAUUGUCUAUCUGAAUUAAAACAAUUAAACUUUUCUUUAGAAGAAUCAGAAAAUAUGUCGGUUGGAUGGUGGCACUAAAGGAGAUUUGAAGGUCAUCAAUCUAUCACUCACAGAAUUACGCCCAAAUUAAUUUUACAUAGAGAAUCAAAGCAGCAGAUACCACAUACCUGAUUGACGAAAGUUCGCUGGAAAGGACUCUUAUCUUCAUUCAACUGUGAAAAGGAGGAAAUCGAAGAUCAGCAGCUGCAAUAUAUACAAAAAAGAUACUAUAUACAUUGACAAAACUCAGACCAGGUCAUACAGUAUUUCUCAUAUCUGAUUACCGUUAUGUGUUCACAUAAGUAAUGAGUUUGUGUUGCAACAGCAAAGGAAACCAAAAGUUGUGAAAAACACAUCGGCGUCAUAAACUAAAUUCAGAAAAUAAUAACAGUGCAUGCUAAAGCAUCUCAACACGCUCUACUCUUCAUUCCACCACAUGUUCCAGUCCGUACCUAAUUAGAAUCUAGUAGUACAGGAGCCCAAUAUGUAUGCUAUCUUAAAGAUGGCAUCAUAACUCGAAUGAACAUGUGCUCUUGUACAUGAAUCAACGCCUCCCUUUCUUCCAACACAGCAAUUUUCAUACAUAGUAGCUAAUUUCUCACUCUUAAAGCCACAAAAUUAUGCAAAACUCUCAACCAAUCGAUUCUCCACAGAGUUACAAUCCAAUUAUACUAACGCGAUUCAGAAACAGCUUAAUAGACCAAGUAUGAAUCAAACGAGCUAAGUACGAACAAGAGAAAGAAACUAAGAGAUCUAAUAGUCCAAAUCGAGGCGAAACGAGAUCGGAUCCUGGGAGGAAGAGAUGCUUACGUCUCGGAACUGGAUCAAUCCGAGCUCACCGAGGUAGGUGAUGGUUCUGUGGGCGGAUUCGACGGGGAUGAUGAGCUGCACGAGGGUCAUCUCCUCCGAUCGGAGGUGAUCCAUGGGAGGAAGCCGAUCGAAGAGCUUCAUCUCUCUUCGAACGGAUCGAAGAGCGAGGAGAGGGAGAAAGAGGAGGGAGAUGGAGGUUGGGGGGGAAGCGCUUCUCCACGAAGCUCUUUUUCAGAUCUGAUGCGGGGGUCGUCGUUGUCGCUCUCGCGUUAUUCUAUUUCGCAACUGCCCUGGUAAUGGGGGGCGUUGAGGGCCCCUCUUUCGAAGCACUUCAUUUGGGAAUUGGGGGAGUGAAUUAUGAAUAUGCCCUCGGGUUUAUUCGAAAUUACAAGGACGGUCCUGUUCUUUCUCUUGCUGACGUGGCGGCGUCUGGUGGGGCCUUUGUUUCAGUGUCAACGACAACAAAUUAUUGCGUGGACCAGGUUUAUCAUGAACAGGUCUACUAAACACAGCAUCGGAAGCCUAAUAAAGUUAAAUUUCGCACUGCUGAUAAAGUUUAGAAAAAACUUCAAAUACCAGCUAUGUGCUUUUACAUUUUUGUAAUUUAGUAUCUUGUAAUUUACAGUGUAUCAAUUUAGUACCUCAUGAUUUUUAUUUUUCUCUUUUUAUUAUCUCAUCUACUAAUUUUUUUUGUUAAAUCAGUGACAAAGUUAAAUUUAAAAGAUAGUAAAGUGAAUAUUCGAUAAAUUUAAAUGGGGUAUCUAAAGUUUUUUGUAUAUAAUUUAACAAAAUGUUAACGAAGGAGCUGACGAAAAAAUAAAAUAUAAUCACGUGAUACUAAAUUAAUACACUUUAAACCAUAAAGUACUAAAGUAAAAAAGUGUAAAACUACAGGAAUGAUAUUUGAAGUUUAUCCUAAAGUUUAUAUAUACAAAGGAGAAGAAGAAGAAGGAGGAGGAGGAGAGAAAGAGAAAAAAAAAAGAAGAAGAAAUAGUGCAAACUUUUUUUAAAUUGUGCAAUCUUGGACUAAAUAGUGUAAAGUCUAUUUGAAAAGAAUGUAAUUUCAAUAUGAAAUAGUGCAAUUUUUAUUAAAACAGUGCAGUUUUUUUUUAAACAGUGUAAUUUUUUUUAAGAGUGCAAUUUUAUCAUUUUCUUUCUUCUCCUAUAUUUUUUGAUCUUUUCUAUAGGAAAUUUUUUUUUUUUUAUUUUUUACUAUUCUUUUUUUUUUCUAUAAUUUUUUUUUGUCACCAUCUCUCCCUUACUUUCUAUCGUAACCAUCGCGACGUCGUCGGAGGCGAUCUCGCCGUCGGAGGCCGCCUCCGACGACGUAUCGGCGCUCCGAUGCACGGUGGAGGAGAAGAGCUUACGUCUCGACGUCGCCGUGCCCUAGUAGAGAAGAAGGGUGUCGGAGGCGAGGAGGGUGGGAGUGCACGGGCGACGGUGCGUGGGGUAGAGGCGAGGCUGGCUGUUUCCGCCUCCACCUCCGCUGCCUUCUUUUGAGAGAGAAAAAAAGAACAAGAGAAAAAAUAAUAAGGGUAUGAAAAUUCUGUCCGAAUCUGCAGAAUCGAAAAGAGUGGUCCACUUUUACAAAAUUCCAAAAUUAGUGGAUUUUUUAUGCAAAUUGGCCUAGAAAGUGUAAUGAGAUCUUUAAAAAAAAUAAAGUGAUUUAGAGCUUCUUUUUUUUUUUAAUAUUUCAAAAUGGUGGGAGAACCACCAGCGGAAAAGCAUCAUAGUGAAAAUCUUUAACUUUUGGAGCAUCCGUGAUUUCCAUUAAAUAUAUUUUUAUGUAUUUUUCUAAUUAGAUCGAUUUUUUGAAUAUUAUAAUGUAGAGGUAAUUUUAAAUUCCCUCAACAUUUAAUAAUCAAUUUCAUAUGUUCAAUUCCUCUUAUCUUUAAUGUGAUGAUCUAUAUUUUUUGUAAUAACCUCAAAAGUGAUCUUUUGAUUUUCCAAACUAUCUAGAAAAGAAAAAUGUGUUCUAACUAUGUAUUCCGAGACUAUAUUUUAAGUUAAAAGAGAAAAAUAUAAACUUAGGAAAGAUUACAUGUUGGGCUAUCCUAGUAUUUGACUUUUUCACCAAACACAGGAUCAUAAACCCCUUGUGACAACUAAUAAAUUGAUAGUUUUGGCCCAUGGAGUGGUGUAUACACAGAUUCCUUCGACCUUGGCCUCAUAAUUAUGAAUUAAUUAAUCAUGUAGUUUGCAACCUUGCAUUAGAACAAUGUAACACUCUUCUUAAUCAAAUCAAAUCAAAUUCAACAAGAAAUGAUAACAAUGGAUAUUGAAUCAGGGCCGGGUCAACGAGUAACACACGAUUAGCUAGUUAACAAAGAUUUUUCACUAAUAAAGACCAAUACAAAAGAGCAAUUGACUUUGGUUAAAAUACAAAAAAAGAACUCUCUAUAAAUAUCUAUUUUUCUAUUUUCAUUUUCUGACUUUUAAAAAUCUAUAUUUUUGUAUGUUGAAAAAUUUAGAAAUGUUUUAGGAGAUUACUGCAUUAAUGGAGAGAGUGAAAUGACUAAUAAAAAAAUAAAAUUCUAAUAUACUUUUAUCAUUUUUAAGAUUUUUUUUGGUAUAAAUUAUAAGUAAGAUGGAAUAGUUACAGAAUCCUUACAGAGCGGAGAUAAAUGUAUUGACUUAAAAUUUUAAAUGGAUAAAAUAUAAUUUUUGAAUAUCAAAAAAAGAAAGAAAAAAAUUGAA
rnacentral:lncRNA from 1 species